CCUACGGUGGCUGCAGUGGGGAAUAUUGGACAAUGGGCGAAAGCCUGAUCCAGCCAUGCCGCGUGUGUGAAGAAGGCCUUCGGGUUGUAAAGCACUUUCAGUGGGGAAGAAAGCCUUGGGGCUAAUACCCUCGAGGAAGGACAUCACCCACAGAAGAAGCACCGGCUAACUCCGUGCCAGCAGCCGCGGUAAUGCGGAGGGUGCGAGCGUUAAUCGGAAUUACUGGGCGUAAAGCGCGCGUAGGCGGUCUGAUAAGCCGGUUGUGAAAGCCCCGGGCUCAACCUGGGAACGGCAUCCGGAACUGUCAGGCUAGAGUGCAGGAGAGGAAGGUAGAAUUCCCGGUGUAGCGGUGAAAUGCGUAGAGAUCGGGAGGAAUACCAGUGGCGAAGGCGGCCUUCUGGACUGACACUGACGCUGAGGUGCGAAAGCGUGGGUAGCAAACAGGAUUAGAUACCCCAGUAGUC
rnacentral:rRNA from 1 species